rnacentral:rRNA from 1 species
AUGCAAAUGACGAUCUUCGUUUCUCAGGCUGUAUUAGCGCUUAGCAAACUUCUUUGUGCCGCCGCCUGCGCUUUCCCCUUCCAUCUCCGCCGCCUCGUCUCCUCCUUCACCACCACCCCCUCCCCUGCCUCCGUACCCCAAGAUGGAGGAGCUCCCCAAGGCCAUUGUGUGGCUGCUGCUCAAGGACAAGCUCGCCCGGGUCACCGUGGCCGGCGCCGGCGAAGGUGUCAUGAACAAGGACACCAUGGCCGCCUUCACCGAAAGCGCCCGCAUCUUCAUCCACUGCCUCUCCACCACAUUGGUUGA